rnacentral:tRNA from 5 species
GGGGCCAUAGCUCAGCUGGGAGAGCGCUUGCAUGGCAUGCAAGAGGUCGACGGUUCGAUCCCGUCUGGCUCCACCA